rnacentral:rRNA from 1 species
AAUGAACGCUGGCGGCGUGCCUAACACAUGCAAGUCGUGCGAGAAAGUCGACUUCGGUCGAUGAGUAGAGCGGCGAACGGGUGAGUAACACGUGGAUAACCUGCCUAGGAGCGGGGGAUAACCUGGGGAAACUCGGGCUAAUACCGCAUACGUUCUCAGCAUCAUGGCGCUGAGAGGAAAGCUGGCCAAUUCUUGAAAGCUAGCACUCCUAGAGGGGUCCGCGCUCGAUUAGCUUGUUGGUGGGGUAAUGGCCUACCAAGGCUGCGAUCGAUAGCCGGCCUGAGAGGGCGAUCGGCCACACUGGGACUGAGACACGGCCCAG